rnacentral:ncRNA from 4 species
UGACUGAACGCCUCUAAGUCAGA